GACUUCCUACGGGGGGCAGCAGUGGGGAAUAUUGGGCAAUGGGCGCAAGCCUGACCCAGCAACGCCGCGUGAAGGAAGAAGGCUUUCGGGUUGUAAACUUCUUUUAAGAGGGAAGAGAAGAAGACGGUACCUCUUGAAUAAGCCACGGCUAACUACGUGCCAGCAGCCGCGGUAAUACGUAGGUGGCAAGCGUUGUCCGGAUUUACUGGGUGUAAAGGGUUUGCAGCCGGGAAGACAAGCCAGAUGUGAAAUCCCGCGGCUCAACCGCGGAACUGCAUUUGACACUGUUUUUCUUUAGUACCGGG
rnacentral:rRNA from 1 species